GAUGAACGCUGGCUACAGGCUUAACACAUGCAAGUCGAGGGGCAGCAUGGUCUUAGCUUGCUAAGGCCGAUGGCGACCGGCGCACGGGUGAGUAACACGUAUCCAACCUGCCGUCUACUCUUGGACAGCCUUCUGAAAGGAAGAUUAAUACAAGAUGGCAUCAUGAGUCCGCAUGUUCACAUGAUUAAAGGUAUUCCGGUAGACGAUGGGGAUGCGUUCCAUUAGAUCGUAGGCGGGGUAACGGCCCACCUAGUCUUCGAUGGAUAGGGGUUCUGCGAGGAAGGUCCCUGAGAGGGGAACCGAGACACGGGCCACAGUGAUACGGGAGGCAGCAGUGCGGAAGACUGGACAAUGGGAGAGAGCCUGAACCAGCCAAGUAGGGUGAAGGACGGCUGCCCUAUGGGUUGUAAACCUCUUUUAGAAAGGAACAAAGUCGGGUAUGGAUACCCGUUUGCAUGUACUUGAUGAAUAAGGACCGGCUAACUCCGUG
rnacentral:rRNA from 1 species